rnacentral:rRNA from 1 species
AGAGUUUGAUCCUGGCUCAGAACGAACGUUGGCGGCGUGGAUUAGGCAUGCAAGUCGAACGAAUGUCAGUUUUGUAGCAAUACAGAGCUGGCGGAAGUGGCGAAAGGGGCAGUAAUGCAUGGAUAACCUACCUUGGGGAUGGGCAUAGCCGUUCUAACGAGCGGGUAAUACCCAGAGAUUCAGCGAGAGGGCAUCCUCUUGCUGGGAAAUGAGUUUCGCCUCGAGAGGGGUCCAUGUGCUAUUAGCUAGUUGGUGGGGUAACGGCCCACCAAGGCUAAGAUGGCUAGCGGGUGUGAGAGCACGACCCGCGCCACUGGCACUGAGACACUGGCCAGACACCUACGGGUGGCUGCAGUCGAGGAUCUUCGUCAAUGGGCGCAAGCCUGAACGAGCGACGCCGCGUGCGCGAUGAAGGCCUUCGGGUUGUAAAGCGCGAAAGUGGAGAGAAAGCGAAAGUUGAUCAAUCCACAGUAAGGACGGGCUAAGUUCGUGCCAGCAGCCGCGGUAAGACGAACUGUCCUAACGUUGUUCGGAAUCACUGGGCUUAAAGGGCGCGUAGGCGGUCGAUCAAGUCAGGGGUGAAAUCCUGCAGCUUAACUGUAGAAGUGCCUCUGAUACUGAUCGUCUGGAGGGAGAUAGGGGUGUGCGGAACUUCCAGUGGAGCGGUGAAAUGCGUUGAUAUUGGAAGGAACGCCGGAGGCGAAAGCGGCGCACUGGAUCUCUACUGACGCUGAGGCGCGAAAGCCAGGGGAGCAAACGGGAUUAGAUACCCUAGUAGUCC